UCAGUGCGCAAUAGCCAAUGCUUGGCCUCGCUGUCAACCAAACAAAUCAAACCAAACCCAGGUCAAGUGCUUUUGGCUUCCAAGGAUCACUUAAGUGCUGCGAAAAGCAUUGUUAGCACUGGGCAGCUGGAAGCAUCAGCUGCUUGUGGUCCCUAAAGUCCCUCUGGUACUCAUUAUAAAGGGUAAUAAACAGCUGCUGUGUUUCGACAUUGAGGUGAUGGCAUUCUGUGGUGGAUGAUUCAUGGUUCUUUCAAGCUGAAAGGUGAGGAGGUGGAGCACCCACUGUGUGUUCCUGUAGAGCCAGCACGGUGGUGGUCUUCUCAGUUGUCCGUAAAGUCCUGGUAUAAAGAAAUUGGAAGCCCAAGAGAGGAGUCUGUCAUCUUUGUCUUGAGGAGCAGUCCUGCAUUCAGCAUCAGUCUUGCUGAAGUAACUAGAGGUCUUUACAUAGAAAAAAAUUAUAUAAUUUGUCAUGAGCACUGGUUGCAAAACUGAGGUCUGAGAGGUUCAGCACUUCCCUGCCCCAGUGGCUAUGUUGUUGUGUCACUAUCAUACUUGAGCACCUCAGAGACGAUGAAAAUGUCCUCACAGACAAACAUCUUGUGAAGGAAAUAAAUCCAAUUAACAUUUUUAAAU